rnacentral:tRNA from 1 species
CUCUGGGUGGUGCAGAUGGUUAGUGCGCUCAGCUGCUAACUGAAAAGUUGGAGGUUCAAGUCCACCCACAGAUG